rnacentral:lncRNA from 1 species
UGGGUUAAAAUUUCUGCAUAUUUGAUGUGUUAAAUGCUAAAGUAGGCUAUAUUGUUUGAAAUUUUUUCAAUCUACAUAUGUGUUAUUCUUGGGUUAAUAAAGUUGUAUUGUAGAUGACCCAUUAUAAUGAUGGUGAAGGAACCGAUGUUAAUGGAAGAAAAUAGAAAGGGUCUAUGGUUGAAUGAAAUCAAUAUGAUACUCUUAUAUUUUUGGAAGUA